AGAGCACACGGAGGAUGCCUAGGCGCUAGGAGCCGAAGAAGGACGUGGCGAACGACGAAAUGCCUCGGGGAGCCGUAAGCAGGCUUUGAUCCGGGGAUGUCCGAAUGGGGGAACCCAGCAGUCGUAAUGGACUGUUACCCUGCAGUGAAUACAUAGCUGCAGUGGAGGCAUACCCAGGGAACUGAAACAUCUAAGUACCUGGAGGAAAAGAAAACAAUAGUGAUUCCGUCAGUAGCGGCGAGCGAACGCGGAUUAGCCCAAACCAAGGUGCUUGCACCUUGGGGUUGCGGGACACCAAGAUAUCGAAGUGUUCAUUAGGUGAAGAGGUCUGGAAAGGCCCAUCAGAGAAGGUAACAAUCCUGUAACCAAAAGUGAGCAACAGAUUAGGUGUAUCCCAAGUAGUGCGGGGCACGUGAAACCCCGUAUGAAUCCGGCAGGACCAUCUGCCAAGGCUAAAUACUCCCUAGCGACCGAUAGUGAAGCAGUACCGUGAGGGAAAGGUGAAAAGCACCGCGGGAGCGGAGUGAAAAAGAACCUGAAACCGUGUGCUUACAAAAAGUCAGAGCACGUUCUAUGUGUGAUGGCGUGCCUUUUGUAGAAUGAACCGGCGAGUUACGUUCACGAGCAAGGUUAAGUUGAAGAGACGGAGCCGUAGCGAAAGCGAGUCUGAAUAGGGCGAAUAAGUUCGUGGGCGUAGACCCGAAACCGUGUGAUCUACCCCUGUCCAGGGUGAAGGUGAGGUAAUACUCACUGGAGGCCCGAACCCACGCAUGUUGAAAAAUGCGGGGAUGAGGUGGGGGUAGCGGAGAAAUUCCAAUCGAACUCGGAGAUAGCUGGUUCUCCCCGAAAUAGCUUUAGGGCUAGCCUCGAGAAUAAGUUGUGGAGGUAGAGCACUGAUUGGGUGCGGGGCCCGCCAAGGGUUACCAAGUCCAGUCAAACUCCGAAUGCCAUAAACUCGAAUCUCGGGAGUCAGACAGUGAGUGCUAAGAUCCAUUGUCGAGAGGGAAACAGCCCAGACCAUCAGCUAAGGUCCCCAAGUGUGUGUUAAGUGGGAAAGGAUGUGGAGUUGCAAAGACAACCAGGAUGUUGGCUUAGAAGCAGCCACCAUUGAAAGAGUGCGUAAUAGCUCACUGGUCGAGUGACUCUGCGCCGAAAAUGUAACGGGGCUAAACACGCCACCGAAGCUAUGGACUCAACAUGUAGAAUGUUGUUUGGUAGGGGAGCGUUGUAUAUGCUGCGAAGGUGUACCGUAAGGAGCGCUGGAGAGUAUACAAGUGAGAAUGCCGGUAUAAGUAACGAAAAGACAAGUGAGAAUCUUGUCCGCCGAAAGCCUAAGGGUUCCUGAGGAAGGCUCGUCCUCUCAGGGUAAGUCGGGACCUAACGCGAGGCCGAAAGGCGUAGUGGAUGGACAACUGGUUGAAAUUCCAGUACCACCGUGAACCGUUAUGAGCAAUGGGGUGACGCAGAAGGGGAAAGAUGCAGACGGAUGGAAGUGUCUGUGCAAGCAGUGAGGCUAAAGUGUAGGCAAAUCCGCACUUUGUUAGGCUAGGCUGUGAUGCGGAGGGAAAAUUACAGUACCGAAGAUCAUGUACUCAAGCUGCCAAGAAAAGCCUCUAGCCAGGGAGAAGGUGCCCGUACCGCAAACCGACACAGGUGGGCGAGAAGAGUAUUCUAAGGCGCGCGGAACAACUCUCGUUAAGGAACUCGGCAAAAUGACCCCGUAACUUCGGGAGAAGGGGUGCCUCGGUAGGGUGAAUAGCCCGAGGGGGCCGCAGUGAAAAGGCCCAAGCGACUGUUUAGCAAAAACACAGGUCUGUGCGAAGCCGUAAGGCGAAGUAUACGGGCUGACGCCUGCCCGGUGCUGGAAGGUUAAGAGGAGUGGUAAGUCCGCAAGGGCGAAGCUAUGAAUUGAAGCCCCAGUAAACGGCGGCCGUAACUAUAACGGUCCUAAGGUAGCGAAAUUCCUUGUCAGGUAAAUUCUGACCCGCACGAAUGGCGUAACGACUUGGGCGCUGUCUCAACGAGAGAUCCGGUGAAAUUUUAAUACCUGUGAAGAUGCAGGUUACCCGCGACAAGACGGAAAGACCCCAUGGAGCUUUACUGUAACUUAAUAUUGAAUUUGGGUAGGAUCUGUACAGGAUAGGUGGGAACCUUUGAGACAUGAGCGCCAGCUUGUGUGGAGGUGACGUUGGGAUACCACCCUGAUCCUACCUAGGUUCUAACCUAUGCCCCUGAAUCGGGGCAAGGGACCGUGUUAGGUGGACAGUUUGACUGGGGCGGUCGCCUCCUAAAGUGUAACGGAGGCGCCCCAAGGUUCCCUCAGAAUGGUUGGAAAUCAUUCGAAGAGUGCAAAGGCAUAAGGGAGCUUGACUGCGAGACCAACAAGUCGAGCAGGGACGAAAGUCGGGCUUAGUGAUCCGGUGGUUCCGAAUGGAAGGGCCAUCGCUCAACGGAUAAAAGCUACCCUGGGGAUAACAGGCUUAUCUCCCCCAAGAGUCCACAUCGACGGGGAGGUUUGGCACCUCGAUGUCGGCUCAUCGCAUCCUGGGGCUGAAGUAGGUCCCAAGGGUUGGGCUGUUCGCCCAUUAAAGCGGUACGCGAGCUGGGUUCAGAACGUCGUGAGACAGUUCGGUCCCUAUCUGUCGUGGGCGCAGGAAAUUUGAGAGGAGCUGUCCUUAGUACGAGAGGACCGGGAUGGACGUUCCGCUGGUGUACCAGUUGUUCCGCCAGGAGCAUCGCUGGGUAGCCAAGAACGGACGGGAUAAGCGCUGAAAGCAUCUAAGCGUGAAGCCCCCCUCAAGAUGAGAUUUCCCAGUAUGUAAGACCCCUUGAAGACCACGAGGUUGAUAGGUUUGAGGUGGAAGCGCAGCAAUGUGUGGAGCUGACAAAUACUAAUCGGUCGAGGGCUUACCCC
rnacentral:rRNA from 1 species